GGGAGCUCAGGUGCCUUCAGGACGAAGCCUGUGACUUUCCUGGUUGUUGUGUGGUCACAUGAGGGUCAAAGUGUGCAUUCAGAUGGCUCCCACAGUGCUGUGCAGGCAGCACUUUGGCCCGAACUUAGACUCCCUGAGAGUUCUUCAUAAGCUGAUUCACCAACAGGAUGAAGGAGAAAUCUGCCCACAGCAACUGCCCCAGAACUCUGGCGUCACUUUGGCCUUGGUGCAGGAUUCCACUGACGUCCUCAUCAUUUUUGAAGACAUUGAAGAAAAACAGAGGGACGUGUUCAGAAGAGAGCAAAUCUGAGUGGGGACAAGGGGCAGGAGCUCUUUACAGGGACAAUGUUACCCCUGAGAUACAAGUAAGACUAGCGUGCGCUGCAGUGUGUGAGAGGAGAGAAAAACCAGUGGGGGCUCAACAAAAGCAGCGAAUGUAGCAGGUUCUUAGGCAAGGUACCCACUGAUGAGAGCCUCUGGCUGUGGGUCUGGCUCAGGCGGCCUCAGAAAGCCGACAGCACAGGUCCCAGCUGAACUGCAAGCCUGUGCCCCACCAUCCCCAGUUCAGAGCAAAGCAGAAACUCGAAGGAGACGGUGCUCCCCAAAAGCAGCACCCCAAAAGAUGCUGGGGCAGGUGCCAUGGGCAAGGCUGUCUCUUUCUGGCCCUGCCAUCCUGCUGCUGGCACUCUGUGGCAGCAUGAGCUCCCAGGACAUCUGCAGCUCCCCAGGUACUCGUGAGUCCUUCCCUCCCAGACCCAGGGCACUUGGAAGCCCAACCACUGUGAGCUCUGCCCUAUGGCAGCCCUUCACUGCUGUGUCUCCUCCAGGGGAUCUCCGAGCUCCUGUUCUCCAAAUGAACUCAAUGUCUACUCAGCCAGGUAAAAUAAUUUUGCUUCAGUGUAUUCUCCCUGUGGUGUCACCUGUAAGACGAAUCAUCUUCUGCAAGGAUGGGAAGGAGCAGUACAGCCAGAAAGCCCAUGAAGGGCAGCUGAGCUACUCCCUGGUCCUGAACAUCACAUCAAGAAGCACAGAAAGAUAUUGAUUUGGGUACCAGGAGUGGAAUGUGAUUAAACAGAGGAGGAGCUCUGCCCUCAGUGCUGGCCGCAUCCUGAAUGUCCCUGGUGAGUCAUGGCCCCGGGCUGGAGGGUUGAGAAGGGACGGAGGCACUUGCCACCACAUGGCUGUGCUGAGGCUGGAGCUGUGUGCUGCAGCAGGCUCUGGGGUGCUUCCCCCAUGGGAGUGUUCCCUCUCCUCCAAGGCACC
rnacentral:lncRNA from 1 species